CUUAAUCCUCAAGGGUGCGAAGUAAGCAUAAUCGGAUACCGUUUAAAUGGCGGAGUGUUGAAUGGAUUCACGAGAGCAAAGCUGUCUUGGAAUAAGAAAUAAAUAAAUUAGCUGUAAUAGUGAAGAAGCUGUUUAAUGUCAUAAGACGAAAAGACCCCGUGAAGCUUAACCAUAGGAUAGUUAUCUAAUUACUAAUAGAUUUACUAAUCUUAAUAAAGACUUAAGUCUUAUCUUAGUAAAAUCUCAUAGCUAUUUUGGUGGUUUUGGUGGGGUGCCAGCACGUUAAAAAAAACAUGGAGUUAUUAAAUUUAAUUAAUAAGAACCUAGUGUAAUAAACAAAUUUAUACAGAGAAUAAUUUCGGAAAAAUGACCCGCCUAAUAUUAAAAUAUAGACGACAAAGAAUAAUAGCUACUCCGGGGAUAACAGG
rnacentral:rRNA from 1 species